CGGUGCUGUUUGCUAGGAGUCCCCACUGUAUAUCCCCUUCUUCCUCCUAAAACCACAUUCAUAAAACAGAAAGUCAUCCAGUGACAACCAAGGUGCCCAUAACCUGUGUCUGCGGAACCAACUCUAAUUCACAUGCUGAUGAGGAACUGAUCUAGGGGAGAUGUGGACCAAACGACAUGGCACCCGCGAGCUGGCUGUCCUCUCUUGUGCUGUUUGCGUUUGUGCUUCUGAAUGAUAAAGUUCAAGAACAAGCCGAUGGGUUGCCCCAGGUCCAGUGUGACACAACACAUUGCUGUCACCUACACACAGACAUCAGGCCCCUCAGCAGUGGUGAAGAAGUCCGCCCAGGUCCU